UUGCUCUCAGCUGAACUUCAUUUGCUUCGGAAAAGAAGCAACGUGAGGUUUUGUUUUUUUUUUCAGGCUUACUACUUGUAAGGUGAACCUGGGAUUCUUUUAAGGGCAAACGAAAGUCAAGAAAUUAAAUAGGAAUAUGAAUCUCCAGAAUUUCUAUUAGCAAUGAUGAGAUUCAGUUUUUUGCUUGCAUCCCUCAUGUGAUCAUCUGCAUGAAAAAGGGUGGGAUGCUGGAUGGUGACAAAGUGGUCCCAAAUCUCAAGGCUUUUUCCACCAAUUGAUCAAGCUGAACUCAAGUGGAGAACUGCUAUUUGGAGUUCUAUUUCUUGGGUGACCAGUCUGUCUAGACUGCCAUUUAGUAGUUUCAUGUAGACAUUUUUUGGUUAUUGAAUGGGAUGGAUAUUAUUCUGACACACUGCAGAAUCCUACUGGUAAGUGAACAUCUAAAAUGUUUUCCUCAUUAGGACAACUCCCUGAAAAGAAGCAGAAAGGUCUUGAGAUAGUUUGACACACACCUGAGAACCAGCAGUGUUAAAGAACAUUUCUCAGAGAAUCAGGUCCUCUCAUCUCUCUACUUCUACAAGAAGUAGGAAUCAAGAAGGAACAAAUAUUGAAGAGCCUCUAGUGCCCCCAGAACCUUUUAUAUAGUUAUAACUCCUUCCC
rnacentral:lncRNA from 1 species